rnacentral:rRNA from 1 species
AUUGAACGCUGGCGGCAGGCCUAACACAUGCAAGUCGAACGAGUGGCGGACGGGUGAGUAAUUGCUGAGAAACUGCCUGAUGGAGGGGGCUAACUACUGUAAACGUUAGCUAAUACCGCAUACCAUCAUUUGUGGCGUGAUGGGAUUAGCUAGUUGGUGGGGUAACGGCUCACCAAGGCGACGAUCCCUAGCUGGUCUGAGAGGAUGACCAGCAACACUGGAACUGAGACACGGCCCAGACUCCUACGGGAGGCAGCAGUGGGGAAUAUUGCACAAUGGGCGCAAGCCUGAUGCAGCCAUGCCGCGUGUAUGAAGAAGGCUUUCGGGUUGUAAAGUACUUUCAGCGGGGAGGCGUUACCCGAAGAAGAAGCACCGGCUAACUCCGUGCCAGCCGCCGCGGUAAUUC